UACGGAAGGCGCAGUGGGGAAUAUUGCACAAUGGGCGAAAGCCUGAUGCAGCUAUGCCGCGUGUAUGAAGAAGGCCUUAGGGUUGUAAAGUACUUUCAUCGGGGAGGAAAAAACAAAACUAAUAAUUUUAUUUCUUGACGUUACCCGAAAAAGAAGCACCGGCUAACUCCGUGCCAGCAGCCGCGGUAAUACGGAGGGUGCUAGCGUUAAUCAGAAUUACUGGGCGUAAAGAGCACGUAGGUGGUUUUUUUAAGUCAGAUGUGAAAUCCCUGGGCUUAACCUGGAACUGCAUUUUGAAACUGAAAUACUAGAGUAUCGUAGAGGGAGGUAGAAUUCUAGGUGUAGCGGUGAAAUGCGUAGAUAUCUGGAGGAAUACCUGUGGCGAAAGCGGCCUCCUAAACGAAUACUGACACUGAGGGUGCGAAAGCGUGGGGAGCAAACAGGGAUUAGAUACC
rnacentral:rRNA from 1 species